CUGUUGCUUCGGCGGGUAGGGUCUCCGUGACCCUCCCGGCCUCCCGCCCCCGGGCGGGUCGGCGCCCGCCGGAGGAUAACCAAACUCUGAUUUAACGACGUUUCUUCUGAGUGGUACAAGCAAAUAAUCAAAACUUUUAACAACGGAUCUCUUGGUUCUGGCAUCGAUGAAGAACGCAGCGAAAUGCGAUAAGUAAUGUGAAUUGCAGAAUUCAGUGAAUCAUCGAAUCUUUGAACGCACAUUGCGCCCGCCAGCAUUCUGGCGGGCAUGCCUGUUCGAGCGUCAUUUCAACCCUCAAGCUCUGCUUGGUGUUGGGGCCCUACAGCUGAUGUAGGCCCUCAAAGGUAGUGGCGGACCCUCCCGGAGCCUCCUUUGCGUAGUAACUUUACGUCUCGCACUGGGAUCCGGAGGGACUCUUGCCGUAAAACCCCCCAAUUUUCCAAAGGUUGACCUCGGAUCAGGUAGGAAUACCCGCUGAACUUAAGCAUAU
rnacentral:rRNA from 1 species